CUGAAAAGUGAGCUUCGUAAGAGAAAUGCGUCAGUGAUUGGAGGCGUAUGAUCGGAACCAAAACUUUGACGAUGGUUUGGGCGAUCAAAAGGACAAUUCUCUUAUCUAUCCACACCCUAAUACAUUCAGAGACAUGAACGCCGAUUAACUUGUUCCAAGCAUCAGCAAGCAGGAAAUAAUAGAAUAUCUGUAAAGAUUGAACACGGAACCAACGGCUAACUUUUAUACAAAUCUAGACAUCUUCUGACCGCC